rnacentral:rRNA from 1 species
GAUCAUGGCUCAGGAUGAACGCUAGCUACAGGCUUAACACAUGCAAGUCGAGGGGCAGCAUCGCGAUAGCUUGCUAUUGCGGAUGGCGACCGGCGCACGGGUGAGUAACGCGUAUCCAACCUUCCCGCAACUGGGGAAUAACCUUGCGAAAGUAAGACUAAUACCCCAUGGUCUCCACGGAUGGCAUCUGAAAUGGAGUAAAGGUUUCGGCCAAUUGCGGAUGGGGAUGCGUCCG